GACGUAGGGCGCGAGCGUUGUCCGGAUUUAUUGGGCGUAAAGAGCUCGUAGGCGGCUUGUUGCGUCAGCUGUGAAAACCCGCAGCUCAACUGUGGGCUUGCAGCUGAUACGGGCAGGCUUGAGUUCGGUAGGGGAGACUGGAAUUCCUGGUGUAGCGGUGAAAUGCGCAGAUAUCAGGAGGAACACCGGUGGCGAAGGCGGGUCUCUGGACGGAUACUGACGCUGAGGCGCGAAAGCUAGGGGAGCAAACGGG
rnacentral:rRNA from 1 species